rnacentral:rRNA from 1 species
UUUUGACCGUGCAAAGGUAGCAUAAUCAUUUGUCUCCUUAAUUAGAGGCUGGUAUGAAUGGUUGAAUGAGGAUAAAAAUUGUCUUUAAUAUAAAAUAAACAGUGAACGUUUAAAUUUUAAUAAAAGAUGUUAAAAUAUAAAUAAAAGACGAGAAGACCCUAUAAAUCCUUUUUUUUAAAUUAAUUAUAUUUUUGCAUAAGUAAUUAAAUCUUAAUUAGUUUAAAAAUUUUAAUUGGGGUGAUAAUGAAAUUUAAAUAACUUUCAUAAAUAUAAUUAAUAUUUAUAAAUAAAUAAGUGAUCCCUUAUUAAUGAUUAAUAAAAUAAGUUACUUCAGGCACCGCGCGGCCUUCCCCCCAAGAAAAGCCGCUAAU